rnacentral:tRNA from 1 species
AGCCCUGUAGUGAUUAUCACAUCAAAUUGCAAAUUUGAAGACGUCCCAUUUUGGUUCCAGGGCUU